ACGCUGGCGGCAGGCCUAACACAUGCAAGUCGAGCGGUAGAGAGAAGCUUGCUUCUCUUGAGAGCGGCGGACGGGUGAGUAAUGCCUAGGAAUCUGCCUGGUAGUGGGGGAUAACGUUCGGAAACGGACGCUAAUACCGCAUACGUCCUACGGGAGAAAGCAGGGGACCUUCGGGCCUUGCGCUAUCAGAUGAGCCUAGGUCGGAUUAGCUAGUUGGUGAGGUAAUGGCUCACCAAGGCGACGAUCCGUAACUGGUCUGAGAGGAUGAUCAGUCACACUGGAACUGAGACACGGUCCAGACUCCUACGGGAGGCAGCAGUGGGGAAUAUUGGACAAUGGGCGAAAGCCUGAUCCAGCCAUGCCGCGUGUGUGAAGAAGGUCUUCGGAUUGUAAAGCACUUUAAGUUGGGAGGAAGGGUUGUAGAUUAAUACUCUGCAAUUUUGACGUUACCGACAGAAUAAGCACCGGCUAACUCUGUGCCAGCAGCCGCGGUAAUACAGAGGGUGCAAGCGUUAAUCGGAAUUACUGGGCGUAAAGCGCGCGUAGGUGGUUUGUUAAGUUGGAUGUGAAAUCCCCGGGCUCAACCUGGGAACUGCGUUCAAAACUGACUGACUAGAGUAUGGUAGAGGGUGGUGGAAUUUCCUGUGUAGCGGUGAAAUGCGUAGAUAUAGGAAGGAACACCAGUGGCGAAGGCGACCACCUGGACUAAUACUGACACUGAGGUGCGAAAGCGUGGGGAGCAAAC
rnacentral:rRNA from 1 species